UACGUAGGGUGCAAGCGUUGUCCGGAAUUAUUGGGCGUAAAGAGCUCGUAGGCGGUUUGUUGCGUCGGCUGUGAAAACCUGAGGCUCAACCUCAGGCCUGCAGUCGAUACGAGCAGACUAGAGUGUUGCAGGGAGACUGGAAUUCCUGGUGUAGCGGUGAAAUGCGCAGAUAUCAGGAGGAACACCGGUGGCGAAGGCGGGUCUCUUGGGCAAACAACAUGACGCUGGAGGAGCGAA
rnacentral:rRNA from 1 species